CGAACGGGUGAGUAACACGUGAGUAACCUGCCCUUGACUCUGGGAUAAGCCUGGGAAACUGGGUCUAAUACCGGAUACGACCAUCUGACGCAUGUCACGGUGGUGGAAAGCUUUUGCGGUUUUGGAUGGACUCGCGGCCUAUCAGCUUGUUGGUGGGGUAAUGGCCUACCAAGGCGACGACGGGUAGCCGGCCUGAGAGGGUGACCGGCCACACUGGGACUGAGACACGGCCCAG
rnacentral:rRNA from 1 species